rnacentral:lncRNA from 1 species
AUGUUUGCUAGGGAGGGCAAGGUCUCCCCCCAGGUACCAGGCGCCUCCCCAGAACGCCGCACAAGGGCUCCUCUGUCCAGGAAGAAGGAAGGAGCCGGGUGUUUCAGCCUGCCUGGAGAGGGAGAAUGUGCCGGGGGAGGCGAGGACAGCCCAGCCCUGAGGGGAUGCCCCCACUGCUCUUGCUGGGAACCAUGUGUGCAGCCCCGGCACUGCCAGCGCAGGGCUGGAGGCCGAUGGUUUGCGGGGUCCCUGUGGCUGUGCCAGGAGCGAGCCAGGCCCCCACAAAAUGGCAGAGGCCGGGGGAGGCGGCCCCAGGCCUGGUGCGGGGGCAGCACGGGAGCCGGGCUCCUGGGGAAGGCUCCCACACAGCAGGAGGCCAGGCCGGAGCAGGCGGGCGGUGGGGUAGGAGAGCCCCCACGGCUCUGGGUACAGCUUAUCUGGAAAAGCCCCGUGCCAAGGCGGAACAGGCAAGGGCUGCAGCACUGCCUGGGGCUGGCCCAUCAGGUGCUGACGUGCCUGGCCCGCAGCCCAGCAGCUCGGAGCCACGCAGCUCCCAUGAACGUCGCCUUUCUUCUCCCCGCCGCACAGCCCUUGGCAGCCCCUCAGCCUCUCCGGCUGGGGAGGGAGAAGAGCCAAGGUCUGUUUUUCUGUCCCUUUUCCCCUUGCCAGGCCCUUCACGGCGCUGAGGGCCCGAGCUGGGGUCUCCCCUGCUGCCAGGAUGAGCAGAGCAGCCCCCUGCUCCACCAGGGAUCCAAGCGGGACGCCCUGUGUUACUGCAAGGCAGAAUUAAGAGCAUCGAGUCCCCUGCCAGUCCUCACAGGCACCAGCUGUUCCAUGGUGUUUGGGAACAUCCACCCAGCUGGAAAUGAGAAAGCCGGCAAGGACUCACCCCCAGCCUCUUCUCUGGCUGCUGCCACAGCUGCUUCCUUUGUCCUUCCUUCAUCCCCAGGCUCUGCUGGGCUGGCCAAGCAAUCCUCGUGUCCCUGCUGUGGGGCCGAGCAGCCACACUAA